rnacentral:lncRNA from 1 species
GGUGUCCCGUUCCCAAAGAAUUUCAUGUCUGUGGCAAAAACUAUACUCAAACGCCUCUUUAGGGUUUAUGCUCACAUUUAUCAUCAGCAUUUUGACCCUGUGAUCCAGCUUCAGGAGGAAGCACAUCUAAAUACAUCUUUCAAGCACUUUAUUUUUUUUGUCCAGUGCAGAAUCCUGAGGAGUCUGGAGAAUUCUAAGUUUGAAUCUGUUCUCCUGGUCGCUGUGAAAGUAUAUUUG